UACGUAGGGUGCGAGCGUUGUCCGGAAUUAUUGGGCGUAAAGGGCUCGUAGGCGGUUUGUCGCGUCGGGAGUGAAAACUCAGGGCUUAACCCUGAGCCUGCUUCCGAUACGGGCAGACUAGAGGUAUGCAGGGGAGAACGGAAUUCCUGGUGUAGCGGUGAAAUGCGCAGAUAUCAGGAGGAACACCGGUGGCGAAGGCGGUUCUCUGGGCCUGUCCUGACGCUGAGGCGCGAAAGCUAGGGGAGCGAACAGG
rnacentral:rRNA from 1 species